CUACGGGGGGCAGCAGUAAGGAAUAUUGGGCAAUGGACGCAAGUCUGACCCAGCCAUGCCGCGUGCAGGAUGACAGCCCUACGGGUUGUAAACUGCUUUUAUACGGGAAAAAACCCCUGCACGAGUUGCGGGGUUGAUGGUACCGCAAGAAUAAGCAUCGGCUAACUCCGUGCCAGCAGCCGCGGUAAUACGGAGGAUGCAAGCGUUAUCCGGAUUCAUUGGGUUUAAAGGGUGCGUAGGCGGAAUGAUAAGUCAGUGGUGAAAUCCUACAGCUUAACUGUAGAACUGCCAUUGAUACUGUUGUUCUUGAGUACAUUUGAAGUGGGCGGAAUGUGUCAUGUAGCGGUGAAAUGCAUAGAGAUGACACAGAACACCGAUCGCGAAGGCAGCUCACUAAACUGUAACUGACGCUGAGGCACGAAAGCGUGGGGAUCAAACAGGAUUAGAUACCCCGGUAGUC
rnacentral:rRNA from 1 species